rnacentral:rRNA from 1 species
GACGAACGCUGGCGGCGUGCCUAAUACAUGCAAGUUGAGCGAUGAAGAUUGGUGCUUGCACCAAUUUGAAGAGCAGCGAACGGGUGAGUAACGCGUGGGGAAUCUGCCUUUGAGCGGGGGACAACAUUUGGAAACGAAUGCUAAUACCGCAUAACAACUUUAAACAUAAGUUUUAAGUUUGAAAGAUGCAAUUGCAUCACUCAAAGAUGAUCCCGCGUUGUAUUAGCUAGUUGGUGAGGUAAAGGCUCACCAAGGCGAUGAUACAUAGCCGACCUGAGAGGGUGAACGGCCACAUUGGGACUGAGAAAAGGCCCAAACUCCUUCGGGAGGCAGCAGUAGGGAAUCUUCGGAAAUGGACGAAAGGCUGAACGAGCAACGCCGCGUGAGUGAAGGAGGGUUUCGGAUCGGAAAACUCUGUUGGGAGAGAAGAACGUUGGUGAGAGUGGAAAGCUCAUCAAGUGACGGUAACUACCCAGAAAGGGACGGCUAACUACGUG